UUUGGCCUGAGGGAGGAGGCCGGGUGAUCAGGGCAGAGUCAGGCCACCCAGGACCCCGGUCUCCCGCGAAGAGGCAGCCUCUGUAGACAGCAUUUCCCUGCCCUCCUCAGCCCUUCGGAUAAUCUGGCGCCAGGUGGAGCCCGGGCACACCCUAGCUACCAGCUGACAAGUUCUGUUAAGGUUCUCCCACCCCUUCUCCACGUUGACAGCCCCUUAUUCCUCUCGGAUCCCCGCCCCCUUCCUCUAGCCCUGCCCCUCACCUCCUGCAGCUUGCAGUCGCGCAGGCUCAGCGUGGCCAGGACGCCACUGCCGCGCACGUCGGGGAUGUCCUGCCACAGCGAGAAGGUGGAGCCCCGCGUCGAGCGUUGCGCGCGGAAAGAGCUGCUCGGGGAGAGGUUGGCGCGCGGUGG